UACGUAGGGCGCAAGCGUUGUCCGGAAUUAUUGGGCGUAAAGAGCUCGUAGGCGGCUUGUCACGUCGGGUGUGAAAGCCCGGGGCUUAACCCCGGGUCUGCAUUCGAUACGGGCUAGCUAGAGUGUGGUAGGGGAGAUCGGAAUUCCUGGUGUAGCGGUGAAAUGCGCAGAUAUCAGGAGGAACACCGGUGGCGAAGGCGGAUCUCUGGGCCGGUACUGACGCUGAGGAGCGAAAGCGUGGGGAGCGAACAGG
rnacentral:rRNA from 1 species